UGGGGAAUAUUGGACAAUGGGGGCAACCCUGAUCCAGCCAUGCCGCGUGUGUGAAGAAGGCCUUUUGGUUGUAAAGCACUUUAAGCAGGGAGGAGAGGCUAAUGGUUAAUACCCAUUAGAUUAGACGUUACCUGCAGAAUAAGCACCGGCUAACUCUGUGCCAGCAGCCGCGGUAAUACAGAGGGUGCGAGCGUUAAUCGGAAUUACUGGGCGUAAAGCGAGUGUAGGUGGCUCAUUAAGUCACAUGUGAAAUCCCCGGGCUUAACCUGGGAACUGCAUGUGAUACUGGUGGUGCUAGAAUAUGUGAGAGGGAAGUAGAAUUCCAGGUGUAGCGGUGAAAUGCGUAGAGAUCUGGAGGAAUACCGAUGGCGAAGGCAGCUUCCUGGUAUAAUAUUGACACUGAGAUUCGAAAGCGUGGGUAGCAAACAGG
rnacentral:rRNA from 1 species